rnacentral:rRNA from 1 species
CCUACGGGGGGCAGCAGUGGGGAAUAUUGGACAAUGGGGGGAACCCUGAUCCAGCCAUGCCGCGUGUGUGAAGAAGGCCCUCGGGUUGUAAAGCACUUUCAGUGAGGAAGAACGCCUGGUGGUUAAUACCCAUCAGGAAAGACAUCACUCACAGAAGAAGCACCGGCUAACUCCGUGCCAGCAGCCGCGGUAAUACGGAGGGUGCGAGCGUUAAUCGGAAUUACUGGGCGUAAAGCGCGCGUAGGUGGCUUGAUAAGCCGGUUGUGAAAGCCCCGGGCUCAACCUGGGAACGGCAUCCGGAACUGUCAAGCUAGAGUGCAGGAGAGGAAGGUAGAAUUCCCGGUGUAGCGGUGAAAUGCGUAGAGAUCGGGAGGAAUACCAGUGGCGAAGGCGGCCUUCUGGACUGACACUGACACUGAGGUGCGAAAGCGUGGGUAGCAAACAGGAUUAGAUACCCGGGUAGUC